UACGGAGGGUGCAAACGUUGCUCGGAAUUACUGGGCGUAAAGCGCACGUAGGCGGCUUUCUAAGUCGGGGGUGAAAUCCUGGAGCUCAACUCCAGAACUGCCUUCGAUACUGGAGAGCUCGAGUCCGGGAGAGGUGAGUGGAACUGUGAGUGUAGAGGUGAAAUUCGUAGAUAUUCGCAAGAACACCAGUGGCGAAGGCGGCUCACUGGCCCGGUACUGACGCUGAGGUGCGAAAGCGUGGGGAGCAAACAGG
rnacentral:rRNA from 1 species